rnacentral:rRNA from 1 species
UAGAGUUUGAUCCUGGCUCAGGACGACGCUGACGGCGUGCUUAACACAUGCAAGUCGGGCGGUAAGGCCCUUUCGGGGGUACACGAGCGGCGAACGGGUGAGUAACACGUGGGUGACCUGCCCUCAGCUCUGGGAUAAGCCUGGGAAACCGGGUCUAAUACCGGAUACGACUCCAUGCUGCAUGGUGUGGGGUGGAAAGCCUUGUGCGGCUGGGGAUGGGCCCGCGGCCUAUCAGCUUGUUGGUGGGGUGAUGGCCUACCAAGGCGACGACGGGUAGCCGGCCUGAGAGGGCGAUCGGCCACACUGGGACUGAGACACGGCCCAGACUCCUACGGGAGGCAGCAGUGGGGAAUUUUGCGCAAUGGGCGGAAGCCUGACGCAGCGACGCCGCGUGAGGGAUGACGGCCUUCGGGUUGUAAACCUCUUUCAGCCCUGACGAAGCAGUGAUGUGACGGUAGGGGUAGAAGAAGCACCGGCCAACUACGUGCCAGCAGCCGCGGUAAUACGUAGGGUGCAAGCGUUGUCCGGAAUUAUUGGGCGUAAAGAGCUCGUAGGCGGUCUGUCGCGUCGGCUGUGAAAUCCCGGGGCUCAACCCCGGGCUUGCAGUCGAUACGGGCAGGCUAGAGUGCGGCAGGGGAGACUGGAAUUCCUGGUGUAGCGGUGAAAUGCGCAGAUAUCAGGAGGAACACCGGUGGCGAAGGCGGGUCUCUGGGCCGAUACUGACGCUGAGGAGCGAAAGCGUGGGGAGCGAACAGGAUUAGAUACCCUGGUAGUCCACGCCGUAAACGUUGGGCGCUAGGUGUGGGAUCCCUUCCACGGGUUCCGUGCCGCAGCUAACGCAUUAAGCGCCCCGCCUGGGGAGUACGGCCGCAAGGCUAAAACUCAAAUGAAUUGACGGGG